GCCUUUGUAGCUCAGUUGGUUAGAGAGCUGCACCGGAACUGCAGGGCUACAAGUUUGAUUCCUGCCAGAGGACA
rnacentral:tRNA from 1 species